rnacentral:tRNA from 1 species
GGGUUAGUAACUCAGUGGUUAGAGUGUUGGUUUGUCAUACCAAAAGUCGUGGGUUCAAAUCCCAUCUGACCCG